rnacentral:rRNA from 1 species
AUUGAACGCUGGCGGCAGGCCUAACACAUGCAAGUCGAGCGGUUGAGGGUAGCUUGCUACCCGAUGCAGCGGCGAACGGGUGAGUAACGCGUGGGAAUCUGCCCAGUAGUGGGGGACAACAGUCGGAAACGACUGCUAAUACCGCAUACGCCCUACGGGGGAAAGGGGGGGAUCUUCGGACCUCUCGCUAUUGGAUGAGCCCGCGUCGGAUUAGCUAGUUGGUGAGGUAAAGGCUCACCAAGGCGACGAUCCGUAACUGGUCUGAGAGGAUGAUCAGUCACACUGGAACUGAGACACGGUCCAGACUCCUACGGGAGGCAGCAGUGGGGAAUAUUGGACAAUGGGGCAACCCUGAUCCAGCCAUGCCGCGUGUGUGAAGAAGGCCUUAGGGUUGUAAAGCACUUUCAGUGGGGAGAAAAGUGAUUCACCUAAUACGUGAGUCAAUUGAUGUUACCCACAGAAGAAGCACCGGCUAACUCCAUGCCAGCAGCCGCCGUAA